GCGAGAGACAAGCAAACACGCACCAAAGUGCAGAGCGCUCGCUGCUGCAUUGCAGAGUUUACUGGCAUAGAGUGAUGGGGGCUCAGCAUGCCACAUGCUCAUCUUGCCAGCGACGGAAGCCCUGGAUGUGUGCACUGAGCAAUCCUUUACUUGCCCGGGAGACACCAUGAGGAACCCCUCUGAGCUCCUUGCAGGAGAAGCAGAGGCAGGCACUGAGAGGCAGCAGAGGUCUGGACAGCGCUGAGGUGGGAUCUGGGGAAUCUGCAGGGCUGCGAGGUGAUACCUGCUAAUGCGCUGGACUGACGGAUAGGAAACGCUUUGAAGACUUUCCACUGCUACAGUUCUGUCACCGGACAAUCACUUAAGCGCUCACUGUGUACAAGAACAACCCUGACGCCAAGCUCCAGUCCAGUUUUGCCAUCCAGCCACAUUCCUCGGGCACAAGAGAAUCACCGGGCCAGCCUGGGAGAACGCUCCAAGUGAAACCUGUACUUGAGUUGGCACUGCGGGUACACCAGUCCUGUGGGUCAGCCUCAGGUGGUUUUGCUGGGCAUGGCAGUCUUCAUAUCUAGGGGACAUGACACGACUAGUGCAGCAUGAACAUCACCCCUUUUAAUAAGGGAAGAAGAAAAAAAAGGACAGAAAACGAUGUCCCAUGUUGGACUCUGCCAACUUGGGAACAAUGAAGAUGUAGGUCUUGCGAACAGAUCAGCUAGGACUCUCAGCUCUCUGUCUUCCCAUCAUUUCCAUCCCUCUGUUCUUGCACUUUAUAUUUGUGAGUGUCAACACAGUUCUAUUACUCAAGGCCUGAAGAGUCUCCAAAUGUCACUUUUAAUGCAACCAAGGCCCUUCUCCUUUAACUGUUCUUUCCAAGCAUAUGAACCAUACUUACUCUUCUGUAAUCCUGCGUUAGCUUAAGUUUCAUUAAAUAUUUCUGGACUAAUGAUUUAUUUCAUCUAUGAGUUCUUACAGAAUUCUGGUCAACUCCUCCGCACCCCUCUGCCACCGAACGCUUUAAGAGCUGCACUUACCUCUAUUUCCAUACUUUCAUUUCCUUUACCAAUUCUGCCUUUGCCAACCAUGAUAAAUAUCUCACUUCUGUUCAAACCUGAGGCAAAAUAUUAGUUUACAUGGUUAUGGACUUUUUAUAAGUGGUUUUCCAUCAAUGCACUGAUUGACAUAGCACUGCUGCAGUUAGUUUAAGGCUCUUGAAAUCCAUUUUCUGAACUGUGCAAGUUAGUGCCCAAGGCUGGAAUCUGCCCAGAAAACUGGUGCAAUUCUGAUUGCUUUUUCUCCCUCAUGCCCUUCCUUUGGUUUGCUACCGUCAGUUGACGGCCCACUGGAAUAGAUUUGAAGCCUGCUUCCAAGGGCAUCAGAAUCUUGUCCAUCUGAGUCACUUUUCUAGUUCAUUGGAGCACAGUUGGCAGGAAGAGCACAAGAAUGACAGAAAAACCAUUCCCACAUGAAGUUAUGAUUUGAUCAGAGUAAGCAAACUGAGAAGUUAAUGCUCAUUGAGCUAAAAGCUGAAAUUCAGAGUGGCAGUUUCCACUCUUGAGGACAAGAGCUACAGCAAUAGUGUGGGCUGGGGUGGGGGGAAGGUGGGAAUUCUGAAAUGAAACUUAGGCAGCUGCUGAGUGUAGGGUGAAUAUGAAAAUUUCUUACCAGCCAUUGUGCUAAACAUAUAGGGAUUUUAUCUUAGGAAAAACAUUCAGAUGUAAAUGUUGCAUUAAACUGAAUGAAGUGCACAGAGCAGAAAGACUUCACCUACUAAUAAGACUUCCUACAAUUUUAGGAAGCUUAUGGUUUGAUUCUGCAGCAAACGAAAUGACUUCGGGAUGCCCAAACUAAAGCUGCACCAUUUAUUUUCAGCACAGAUAUCACCAGCUGCUUAUCCUAUCAUAUCACAAUUUUAAAGGAAAUUAAGUUUGAUGCAUCAAUUACUUUAAUAGAUUUGACAGCAUUUCAUACUGUUUUAGACUUUACAUCAAGAACAGUUAUUUCUGGCAACUGUAACCUACCAGCUUCUGGCUAGGCAUUCAAUUAACAUGACAAAGCAUCAUCACAGACUGCACUAGUGUCAUAGCAUUUCAUAGCCCUCUGGUAAGUCUUCAGGUCUGUGAUCCUCAUAACACCAUCUGUUCCGAAGCCAUUGUGGCUAAACGACUUUUUCAAAUGGUCAUAAAUUAAAAACCAGACAGAAUCCCAAAGAUGCUAUUGUCAGCUGUCAGGACGAACUGUAACAUGGACCACGGGGGAAGAAAAAAAAAAAAUUGUAAAUUGAAAUGACUCUGCAGCUACUAGAGAUUUGCUUGUUCAUCUUUUGCACGUUUGUAACCACUUGACAAGAUCUGCCUUAAUGUAUUACCAGCCCCCUCAUUUAGCAUAUAAAGGGUUUUGUUUUUAAACAAAAGUCUCUAUACUUAAACCAGUCUUUAAACAAAAUGACUUAUUUUAAUGCAGCAAAAACUACUUCCCAGCAGAGAAACUGCAAUUCAGAAAUCAAGGCAAAAGCAGAUCUCUCUUUUAGUAGGUCCAAUAUCCUCUUCUGGAAGGUAAGUAUUUUUCUGAAGAGCUACCUAACAAAACCUUUGUCCAUCCAGAUAUAGAAACUACUUUCACGCUGACUGUAUUCUAGAAGAAAUAUUGAAUGUGCAUUUUUUUUCUUUUUUACUUCUAUGAUCUUUCACUGAUAAGGUCUUGCAUUACACUUCUGUUUCAUAACACUCACGAUGGAAUAUUUUGUCUAAAUAUAAGUUACGCUACCAAGUGGUUUAGCCAAUUAACAUAAUGUAGCAGAAUACAGUAUGUUAUGUUCUUGAAUCCUUUUUAAAAGUUAACUUUUAGCACUUAGCUCCAUGAGUACUGAUCCUAAUGAAGCCUGUUCUUGUUUUCUAAUGAUUGUCUUAUGUUUGUACAGCUGUAAUAUCUGUAGAUUCUCUCAUAUG